rnacentral:lncRNA from 1 species
GGGAAGAUGAGAUAUACUACUGUUCCAAGUGUAAGACCCACUGCUUUAGCAACAAAGAAGCUGGAUCUCUGGAGGCUUCCACCCUUCCUGAUUAUUCACCUUAAGCGAUUUCAAUUUGUAAAUGAUCAGUGGAUAAAAUCACAGAAAAUUGUCAAAUUUCCUCGGGAAAGUUUUGAUCCGAGUGCUUUUUUGGUACCACGAGACCCGGCUCUCUGCCAGCAUCAACCACUCACACCCCAGGGGGAUGAGCUCUCCAAGCCCAGGAUUCUGGCAAGAGAGGUGAAGAAAGUGGAUGUGCAGAGUUUGGCUGGGGAAGAGGACAUGCUCCUGAGCAAAAGCCCAUCCUCACUCAGCGCUAACAUCAGCAGCAGCCCAAAAGAGAUUGUGCUUUGCCAUGUUUCCCAGGCUGGGCUCGAACUCCUGCACCCAAGUGAACCUCCUGCUUCGGCCUCCUAAACUGCUGGGAUUACAGGUUCUCCUUCUUCAUCAAGAAAAAGUGGAACCAGCUGUCCCUCCAGCAAAAACAGCAGCCCUAAUAGCUGCCCACGGACUUUGGGGAGGAGCAAAG